UACGGGGGGGGCAAGCGUUGUUCGGAAUUACUGGGCGUAAAGGGCUCGUAGGCGGCCAACUAAGUCAGACGUGAAAUCCCUCGGCUUAACCGGGGAACUGCAUCUGAUACUGGAUGGCUUGAGUUCGGGAGAGGGAUGCGGAAUUCCAGGUGUAGCGGUGAAAUGCGUAGAUAUCUGGAGGAACACCGGUGGCGAAGGCGGCAUCCUGGACCGGUAUUGACGCUGAGGAGCGAAAGCCAGGGGAGCAAAGCGGGG
rnacentral:rRNA from 1 species